rnacentral:rRNA from 1 species
GACGAACGCUGGCGGCGUGCUUAACACAUGCAAGUCGAACGGAAAGGCCCUGCUUUUGUGGGGUGCUCGAGUGGCGAACGGGUGAGUAACACGUGAGUAACCUGCCCUUGACUUUGGGAUAACUUCAGGAAACUGGGGCUAAUACCGGAUAGGAGCUCCUGCUGCAUGGUGGGGGUUGGAAAGUUUCGGCGGAUGGGGAUGGACUCGCGGCUUAUCAGCUUGUUGGUGGGGUAGUGGCUUACCAAGGCUUUGACGGGUAGCCGGCCUGAGAGGGUGACCGGCCACAUUGGGACUGAGAUACGGCCCAGACUCCUACGGUAGGCAGCAGUGGGGAAUAUUGCACAAUGGGCGGAAGCCUGAUGCAGCAACGCCGCGUGCGGGAUGACGGCCUUCGGGUUGUAAACCGCUUUCGCCUGUGACGAAGCGUGAGUGACGGUAAUGGGUAAAGAAGCACCGGCUAACUACGUG